GGAUCCUCUUCCAAUCCAUGUGCUCCAUGCGGGAACAUGAUUCAUGAGUGGUCUUCUAUUCUUUCAAGUUGUGUAACUUGUAAUUUAAUGGGGAAUACCUUCAUUUAAACAUUAUUUACUUUUUCAGUCUGCAAUUAAUGUUAUAAUUGCUUUUCUCUGUUCUUGUUCCUCACAUGAGAAUGUGUUUUUAUUAUUAUUAUUCUACUCAACUCAACUAAGCCU
rnacentral:misc_RNA from 1 species